AUUCAAGUGAUACUUGACUCUUCUUUCAACAUCGUGACAUUGGCAGUAGGAUAGUAUACUUUGGCGGCUGAGGACAACAUCUUACAAAAGGCAGGCUGAAAGGAAUCUGCUGCCUGAGGAAUUGGGUAUAUCGUGUCUAACAAAGAGAAGGACUAGAGAUGAUAUGAUAGCAGUUGUCCUAUAUUUGAGAGGCUUUCACAAAGGAGAAGGGGACAAUCUAAAAUCCAGAGCAAGACAAGAAGUAACGGAUGGAAACUGAUGAAGAGGAGAACCAAACUAGGACUUUGAAUAUACCAUACUUGCCUUCAAUAAACCCAGAUUAUAUCUACAUUAUGUCAUUUAUGUCAUUCAUGGGUGAAGUCAUGAGACAAAAUGUGUUCUUACAUGCUUGGGUCUGAACAUCUAAGGGGUGAAAUGCUACCGGUUCGGACUAGUUCGGUUGAACCAGUAGCGACGGCAGUGCGAGGCUCCGCCCACCCACCCGGACAUCAUUACAUCCUGAUUUUAACCAGGAAGUAACCUGUGUUUUACCCUCUGCAGGUCCAUAUUUGCAUGUGACACAUGUGCGCACGCACGCAAAGCGCACACUUCUGAACCAGUAGGAAAGGAAUCAUGAGUUGCCAAGUAUACAAGAUCUUAAAGGAUAUGCUGUUGAGUAGCAGCCCCCAACAUUUUGGGCACUGUGGAGAGAGGUUUUUCCACGAACUGGAGAGAGCAUUGCUUCAUGUGCUGACUGCAUGGGGCUUCACUUGUUUGCUCAGCAUGGUUUCUGGCAUGCUGCAGACCAGUGCUGGACCACCAGAGGUUGUGGACUUCUACUGUUAAGGAUACAAAGGACAGGAUGGGAUCAAAAGAUUGAUGAUGUUCAUUUGGAUUCCUGCAAGUCCUACUUUCAAAUUGCAAAAAAUGAAAAAACAGUGCUGGAGAUAGAUAAGAGUUUACCAUUUCAGAAGCAAAGAUAUUCUGUGGGAGAUGAAUUUUCCAAAAGAUGUAAUAAAAUAGGUCUUUUUUCUGGGGAAAAAAAUCGCUUUGUAAAAUCUUGGUUUAUAAUUGGAAGUUUUUAGGAUAUCUAGAGUGGUAUGAUGAGUAUAUCUUACUAGGAGGAACCCUAUAUAGAUUCUAGAUGUGGAACUCUGUUUUAAUAGAUGCCAACAUUUUUAUUAGUUACUAUAUCAGGCUCCCUCUCUUAGCAGGCUCAAAACCUGGCUGAAGCUUCCCAAAUAUUUGAUACCACAUGGCUAGUAAAUUAUCUUUAUUAUACACCAAGACUAAAGCCAGUUGGAAUGGCUGAUUCAGAGAAUGAAGUAGCAACUUCUUAAUUCCCUCCUAAAUUGAAAUUCAAUGUGUUUUUUUUUCUCUCUUACCAUGGCUUAACACGUUUUGCUUCUCCCAAAUAAUUUUUCCUCUCUUUUAAAGAUAUUAAAAA